rnacentral:rRNA from 1 species
UACGUAGGGAGCAAGCGUUGUCCGGAAUCAUUGGGCGUAAAGGGCGCGUAGGCGGCUCGGCACGUCCGUUGUGAAAUCGCUCGGCUCAACUGGGCGAGGUCAGCGGAUACGGUCGAGCUUGAGCCAGCUAGGGGGCAAUGGAAUUCCCGGUGUAGUGGUGGAAUGCGUAGAUAUCGGGAGGAACACCAGUGGCGAAGGCGGUUGCCUGGGGCUGUGCUGACGCUGAUGCGCGAAAGCGUGGGGAGCGAUCCGG